rnacentral:rRNA from 1 species
GUGGUCACAGUGAGGGGGAGACACCCGUUCCCAUUCCGAACACGGCAGUUAAGCCCCUCCACGCCGAUGAUACUGCCUGGGCGACUGGGUGGGAAAGUAGGUCGCCGCCGUAU